UACGGAGGGGGCUAGCGUUGUUCGGAAUCACUGGGCGUAAAGCGCGUGUAGGCGGGUCUUUAAGUCAGGGGUGAAAUGCCAGGGCUCAACCUUGGAACUGCCUUUGAUACUGGAGACCUUGAGUCCGGGAGAGGUGAGUGGAAUUGCGAGUGUAGAGGUGAAAUUCGUAGAUAUUCGCAAGAACACCAGUGGCGAAGGCGGCUCACUGGCCCGGAACUGACGCUGAGACGCGAAAGCGUGGGGAGCAAACAGG
rnacentral:rRNA from 1 species